rnacentral:rRNA from 2 species
GGAGAUGAUUGAAAGAUGGUUUCGGCUAUCACUUACAGAUGGGCCCGCGGUGCAUUAGCUAGUUGGUGAGGUAACGGCUCACCAAGGCAACGAUGCAUAGCCGACCUGAGAGGGUGAUCGGCCACACUGGGACUGAGACACGGCCCAGACUCCUACGGGAGGCAGCAGUAGGGAAUCUUCCGCAAUGGACGAAAGUCUGACGGAGCAACGCCGCGUGAGUGAUGAAGGCUUUCGGGUCGUAAAACUCUGUUGUUAGGGAAGAACAAGUACAAGAGUAACUGCUUGUACCUUGACGGUACCUAACCAGAAAGCCACGGCUAACUACGUGCCAGCAGC